rnacentral:misc_RNA from 1 species
CGCGCCAUAGGUCACGUACUACAUGACGAAAUGUUUUCAUGUAAGUCACGUUUACCAAGCAUUUCUCGAGUAUUUACGGGCCUGAGUUUCGGAUAUUGCAACAUUUCUCUGGAUUCAGUCAACAUAAACUGAAGUUUACCAGAUAUGACAAUAUCUCGGGUUGCUUGUGUCGUAUCGACAAACUGGUUACGUGAACAGUUGGGCACGAACAUCAAAAAUCAGAUCUCCAAAAAACUACGUAUUCUCGACACAUCUUUCCUGAAAAACAAAGAAGUCGAUACUUAUACCACAUGUUACCUUCAAGAGCACAUACCACAGUCUGUAUACUUUGGGUUGCACAACUGUGUAGAAAGCACACCAGAGCUUCCCCGUAAUUUACCGGAUCCACAAUGCUUUUCUGAAUAUGUGCGGACUUUAGGAGUGCACCCAGACACCCAUAUUGUGGCAUAUGACAGAUUUGGACCUACGCCGGCGUUCCGAGCAUGGUGGAUAUUUAGGCUGUACGGCCACAAGAAUAUCUCAGUGCUGGACGGAGGACUCAGAAAGUGGAUAGCAGACGGGUACGAGACCACCAAUGAGUUAGUCACUGUUGAGCCCUCGAAUUUUGAAGCAAAACUAGACAAAUCUUUGAUACGUUCAUACGAAGACAUGGUGAGGAACGCCGAGACAAAACAUGAACAAGUACUUGAUGCGAGAGCAGUUGACUGUGACACUAUAACUAAUGAAGACAUGGAUGGUGGCGUGAUACCAGGGGCAAAACAUAUUCCAUUUGAAAAUCUCUUCAGCAGCGAUGGUACAUUUAAAUCUGACACAGAAAUCAAAGCUUUAUUUGACGGUGCGGGUGUGAAUCUGGAGGCGCCGAUGGUGGGGUCGUGCUUUACGGGUAUGACCGCUUGCGGCAUUGCUGCAGCCGCCUACGUACUUGGCAAGGACAUUCCCAUCUAUUAUGGUUCGUGGACAGAAUGGCGUCAAAGGGCCCCGGAAGAACUUAAACAGCGGUAUAAGAAAGCAAGUUGAAGCAUCACCACGAGCACCUUUGAGUGUAAAGUAUAUGACUGUGAUAUUUCCACAUAGUUCCGAUUUGUGUUCAUUCUGAGAAUAUGACACCGAUAUCAAUACUCAUUCAUGUACUGUAUAUACAUAUGUGCGGAGGAAUGAAAAAUCGACACAUUUGAACUUAGACCAUGUGCAUUUGGAAGUUUUAAACCACAAAUACAUUCCUAGUGUGUACUGCUUCAAAUAUUUUAUACGUAAUUGUCAAGACGAAUUCCCCUUCUUUCACUUACGCCCAUUUGCACGACAAUACUGUUUCCUGCGAUAAGCUAGAUUGUAAUACAGUACACUUACUUUCAGAGCUUCUAUUCAGUAUAAUUCUUUCAGUGUCUAGCCUGUAGGUCAUGAAAAAUCAAAUUGCUGAAAGCACUGAAACUUGGGUGGAACUGAAAAGAAGAGGCAACUGAAGGGAAUGCCGAACAGUAAUAAGACAAAAGGCGGGGUACAGACAAAGAGAACGGAUAUAGGAGAUUUUGAAUGAGGUUUUGAGAGCACUGAUGUUAUCGUUGUCAGGAUUGUCAAGAUACUUCUGAAAUAUUUUUUUUUUACUUUUACUGAAAUACGGGUUACGUGGCCAAUGGCUUGUUGUAUUGUGGAUAAGUUGAUAUUAUUUUUGAAUCUUUUUUACAUACAAAAUAUUAACAUAUGAACCAUAAUUUUGACGUUGGGAAAACGACAACAAUGGAGGAGAAAUUGAGACUUAAUAUUUGUAAUGAGUUACUCAAGAUGCAGUAUAAAUCCAGUAUCAGUUAAUUUUGACAUAACGAAAUUCAUCAUCUACAUUUUUGUAAAAAAAAAAUAGCGUACAUUUGUUUACAUUCACUUUGACUUUCAGCUAAUUCCUUGUACAUGCUUGUUUAGUGAAUUAAAUUAAAAGAAAAUAUCUCAAAA